rnacentral:rRNA from 1 species
UACGUAGGGGGCAAGCGUUGUCCGGAUUUAUUGGGCGUAAAGAGCUCGUAGGCGGUUGGGCAAGUCACGUGUGAAAUCUCCACGCUCAACGUGGAGGCGCCACGUGAGACUGCCCUGACUCGAGUCCGGUAGGGGAGCGUGGAAUUUCCGGUGGAGCGGUGAAAUGCGUAGAGAUCGGAAAGAACACCAACGGCGAAAGCACUCUGCUGGGCCGACACUGACACUGAGAGACGAAAGCUAGGGGAGCGAAUGGG